rnacentral:rRNA from 1 species
GAUGAACGCUGGCGGCGUGCUUAACACAUGCAAGUCGAGCGAAGCCCUUUUGCGGAUUUCUUCGGAUUGAAGCAAUUGUGACUGAGCGACGGACGAGUCAGUAACGCGUGGGUAACCAGCCUCAUACAUGGGGAUAACAGUUGGAAACGGCUGCUCAUACCGCAUAAGCGCACAGUACCGCAUGGUCCCGGUUGAAAAACUCCGGUGGUAUGAGAUGGACCCGGGUCUGACUAGCUAGUUGGUGGGGUAACGGCCUAGCAGGGCGACGACAAGUAGACGAGCUGAGAGGGUGACCGGCCACAUUGGGACUGAGAAACGGCCCAAACUCCUACGGGAGGCAGCAGUGGGGAAUAUUGCAAAAUGGGGGAAACCCUGAUGCAGCGACGCCGCGUGAGCGAUGAAGUAUUUCGGUAUGUAAAGCUCUAUCAGCAGGGAAGAAAAUGACGGUACCUGACUAAGAAGCCCCGGCUAACUACGUGCCAGCAGCCGCGGUAA